ACGACAUUCGUCGCGAUCUAAAGACUAUUAGACAAUAUUUUCAGGCAUGUAGACUACGCUGUCGUCUGUCGAUCACCGUCCGACCUUUGAGUGGUCCGACCUCCCACUCAAAGGCGAUCGCUAUGCGUUUUUAUCAUUGGCCGAUGAUUACCUAUCGUAUUAUUAUUUAUUAUUAUCGGUAAUCAGCGCAACCGCAGUGUACCGAUGAUACGUUUUGGUUCUAAACAAAUUAUUUAAUGUUUUACCCGUAAUAGAUAUGAUUUUUAGUUUUCGCAGUCGACGCAGUUGCCACGAGUGGUGUGAAUCAAGUGGUGCGAAUAAUAAUAGCAAACAAUGACGAUUAUUUAAGCGAUGGACGGUACUUAGUUAUUUUUAUCAGAAUCGAAUGACUAGAGUGUGAUAUCAGUGAACACUGAAUUGGCUUAUCCAAUCAACAGAUUUGGAGGAACAAUCAAACACACAAAUAAUACAUAGACGUGGUCCAAGGAAGUGGAUAUCAAAACUUCUGCUACUGAAAAUGAAUAUGUGAUGCAUGUGUGUCCGAGAAAAAAAACGUAAGAUAUGAGUUCAUAUCCAGAUGACAGCUAUAUUUAAGGUAUCCAGUUAUUUUGUCAAUAGAAGACAAUUCACUACAACAACAGCGAUAUAUGACAUCAACUAUGAUUAAAGUAUGGAACUGGAAUGAAAAUAAUAUGCCUUCCCCUGAACAACAUAAUAUGUAUAAGUUAUAUAAGUUCAUAGUAAGACUUGAAACAUUUCCUGAAAAAGUUAAUGGAGACCAAGCUAUCACAAUUAGACAUAACUAAAGAGCGGAUUUCUAGAUUCUUAAAAGCUUAAAAUAUGAUGCUAAUAUGCUCUAAAAAACCUUAAAGUAUUCUCUAAAUAUACAUUAAGCUUGUAAAUAUGCAGAUAAUAUGAUUUUUUUUUUUCUUAAAUAAU